UACGUAGGGGGCAAGCGUUGUCCGGAUUUAUUGGGCGUAAAGGGCGCGUAGGCGGUUUCUUAAGUUUGGAGUGACAGUGGGUGGCUUAACUACCCAAGGCCUCUGAAAACUGGGGAACUUGAGGACCAGAGAGGGACAUAGAAUUCCGGGUGGAGUGGUGAAAUGCGUAGAUAUCCGGAGGAAUACCAAAGGCGAAGGCAGUGUCCUGGAGGGUGACUGACGCUGAGGCGCGAAAGCGUGGGGAGCGAACAGG
rnacentral:rRNA from 1 species